AAUAUACUCCCUCCGUUCGGAAAUACUUGUCAUCAAAAUGGAUAAAAGGGGAUGUACCAAACGUAUUUUAGUUCUAGAUACCUAUCCUUUUAUCCAUUUUGAUGACAAGUAUUUUCGGACGGAGAAAGUACACA
rfam:Triticum urartu cultivar G1812 contig728745, whole genome shotgun sequence.